rnacentral:misc_RNA from 1 species
AACGCAAAUUGCACUCUCUGGCAACCCGGGGAGUAUGCCUGUUUGAGGGUCAGUGUUAAUAAAAAUCGGAUGCGUUGCAAUUUUUGUGACGUUUCCGGAGUUUGAGUUAUCUUAACUUCGGUUUUAAGAGGCUUAAAAUUGACCUUUUUUUGUGCAUUUUUAGACGUACAUAAAUUUUUUUUUAUUCGUCCAUCCUAAUGCCAAAAUCUAUUAGAUGCGAUCAUAUCUUGUGGUUCCGUGUCUAUAAAUUUUUCAUGAUUUGACCUCAAAUCAGGUAGGAACACCCGCUGAACUUAA